UUGGCACGCACAUCUGAGGAUGGUGGAC
rnacentral:piRNA from 1 species